rnacentral:rRNA from 1 species
GGGAGCCUGAGAGACGGCUACCAAGGGAACGGGAGAGACCGGUACCGCGAAUUACCCAAUCGUGACACAGGGAGGUAGUGACAAGAAAUAACAAUACAGGGCUUUCGUCUUGUAAUUGGAAUGAUGGUGAUGUACAACCUCACCAGAGUACCAAUUGGAGGGCAAGUCUGGUGCCAGCAGCCGCGGUAAUUCCAGCUCCAAUAGCGUAUAUUAAACCCGCCACUACCAAAGGUGCCGGGGCAGACUCAUCAGCCUCGCGUUUUUUCCCUUUUGUUGGGUCUUUUCGCUGGCUUUUUUUUUACUUUGAAAAAAUUAGAGUGUUUCAAGCAGACUUUUG